UGAGGAAUAUUGGACAAUGGGCGCAAGCCUGAUCCAGCCAUGCCGCGUGCAGGAAGAAGCAUCUAUGGUGUGUAAACUGCUUUUGUACGGGAAGAAACACUCCUACGUGUAGGAGCUUGACGGUACCGUAAGAAUAAGGAUCGGCUAACUCCGUGCUAGCAGCCGCGGUAAUACGUGGGGUGCGAGCGUUAUCCGGAAUCAUUGGGUUUAAAGGGUCCGUAGGCGGUUUAGUAAGUCAGUGGUGAAAGCCCAUCGCUCAACGAUGGAACGGCCAUUGAUACUGCUAGACUUGAAUUAUUAGGAAGUAACUAGAAUAUGUAGUGUAGCGGUGAAAUGCUUAGAUAUUACAUGGAAUACCAAUUGCGAAGGCAGGUUACUACUAAUGGAUUGACGCUGAUGGACGAAAGCGUGGGGAGCGAACA
rnacentral:rRNA from 1 species